rnacentral:rRNA from 1 species
AUUGAACGCUGGCGGCAUGCUUUACACAUGCAAGUCGAACGGCAGCGCGGGCUUCGGCCUGGCGGCGAGUGGCGAACGGGUGAGUAAUGCAUCCGAACGUGCCCAGUAGUUGGGGAUAGCCCGGCGACAGCCGGAUUAAUACCGCAUACGACCUGAGGGUGAAAGCGGGGGACCGAAAGGCCUCGCGCUAUUUGAUCUGCCGGUGACGGAUUAGCUAGUUGGUGGGGUAAAGGCUUACCAAGGCGACGAUCCGUAGCUGGUCUGAGAGGACGACCAGCCACACUGGGACUGAGACACGGCCCAGACUCCUACGGGAGGCAGCAGUGGGGAAUUUUGGACAAUGGGCGCAAGCCUGAUCCAGCCAUGCCGCGUGCGGGAAGAAGGCCUUCGGGUUGUAAACCGCUUUUGUUCGGGAAGAAAUCCUCUGGGCUAAUACCCCGGGGGGAUGACGGUACCGGAAGAAUAAGCACCGGCUAACUACGUG